rnacentral:lncRNA from 1 species
GUUUUACUUCCCAGGAAGAAGUGAAGCCCCAUGGAGCAUGAGGGGGCAGCCAAGGGGCUGGGCAUCACAGAAGCCCUGACAUUUGCUGGGCUCCUACCCUGUGUCACAUAUUAUAUCAAGAACUUUAGGAGCUAAGAUAUUCUCUCACGAUGGAAGAGGUUAGUCCCAGUCCCGUUUGCCUGUGGACAUCUUGCAUCAUCCUCUGAACAAUCUUUCCCUUCCUUCCUCUUCUUUCCAGUUCUCGUCCCACCCUCUUCCCUCUCUUCUUUUCUUUUUUUUUUUCUCCCCUCAAGCCCAAGACUUUCCUGUCAUGCCAGGCAAUGAUUCAGCCACUUCAGUUCUGGGUGGAUGGAUAGGCAGGGCUUAAAGCAGGCAACCCUCAUGCUGUCAAAGCCAAAAAGUAGAGGAAUUAUAAAAGCCUCCACCAGGGGUUGCCUAAGCUCUGGUGUUUUGCCCCCACUACUUUAAAGGCGAUUCGUUUAAAACAAAACAAAACAAAACGAAAAACAACAACUUACUUUGUAAAGCAUAAGCUUAAAAUAAGAAAAACAGAAGUGCCUAAUCAGAUCUUUGGAAGUAUUGCAUUGCACUGUCACUGAGUGAUAUAUGACUGGCUGUCUUUCUGUUUGGACUGCAUUCAUCUGAAUGGAGUGGGUACAUUGGCUACCGCCUUUUCUCCUGGUUUUCGCUGUUUCUCUUUGAUCUAGAAGCGAUUUAUUCUUACUCCUCCAGAUCUCUUUAUAAAGAGCCACAGGGAAGGGAAACAAUGAUGGCUGUUUGGGAAUAAAGGAGGGCUCUCACAGUUGAAGUUUUCUCCAUCUAGGCUUGGGUAAGGAGAAGGGCUUCUGGUCCCUCAGGCCUGUCAGUCAUAUACCUGGGACCUGUCCCAUGGUCAUACAGACCAGACCCUGCACACCUGCAGUCUCAGGUUCUGACAAGCAGGUAUCUUGCAAAGCGGAGCCCACAGCUGGAAUUCAAGGCAAAGCCCAUCCCCUCUUGCCAGCAAGGCAGGAGUGUCCCUUCUGAAGUAAAAGCCAGAGGACAAGAUGGACUGGGAAACACUGCAAAGACAUUGCUCCUCGGCCUUUGGUGACAUUCCUCCAAGGUCCCCUCUCACAGGUGUGUUAUGAGACAUACCUCAGGCAUGAGUGGACGCAUCAACAAAAGGAAUAGCUAAACACAGCCUGAAAUAGGAUGCCUUCAAACAUGAGACUAAUUAUUAAAAGAAUUUCAAUUUUGUCUUUACCAAGACAUGAGUUCCUUAUGUACUGCAUGCUGUCUUCUGCUUUUUAUUUGAAGAAAUGUGGCAUUUGGGAAGCAGCAGAUGUCCCCCCUGUGGAAUCAAUGUGAAAUGAUAUUUUUGUAACAUCAUUAAAAAGUCUAUCAAGGCUGAGGCAGGAGAAUCGCUUGAACCCGGGAGGCAGAGGUUGCAGUGAACCGAGAUUCUAUGUUCAGCCAAUUUCCUCCAAGGAAAACCGUGGAUGGAACUAAAUGAGAUUUCACCCACUUGGUGCAAUUUGGUCAGAGGGUGGAAUGUCCAGCCAUCCAGGUUGACCCGGGGCAGGGCCUCAGUCUCACCUGUCCUGGGAAGGGCGUCCUCAUGAGGUCAAGGCUGGAGAAAAAGCACAUAUCCAGGAACUCUAGCCCUCUGCAAGGCCUCAACAAAUGGUGGCUCUUACUGGUGUUAGUAUCACAUAUGCACAGAUAAUUUUCAGAAUCCAGAAAGGGGAUGAAGUGUACAGAUCAGUAAGUAGCACCUCUCAGAGUCUAGCAAACACAUUGACAUUUAAGCAGUGAGAUGUAUGAAUAUUAAUACAAAAUAUGAUAAAUGAAGAAAAUUCAGUAUUUUAUAAACAGUUUCAUAUCAUCCAUUUUAGGUUUUAAUAGCAAAAGAAUUUAGAGCAGGCUUAUGAAAAAGCCUUUUGCUUGCCAGAGCUUUAUGGAUUAGGGUUUUGUGAAUAACAGAUCAUGGGUCUGUAUUGCCCUAGGCAUCAAUUUCCACACAGAUCAAAAAAGAGGCUUCCCGCCUUACAGAUUCCUGGUACUGAAAUAGCCUUCAAUUUUCAAACCUGUCAGUUUACCCAAGUCAGAACUCUCACUGCCUCCCUAUUGGCCCGGAGCCACUACACAUAUUUGGUUAUAACCCAUGGAUGGAAUCUAAGUCCCCAAACAGGCCAUAUCCUGUAGGACCUUCAGGACUGGAAACCUAUGGUCUCACGGCUCUUCUUCCUUCUCCCCAAGCUGGAGG